rnacentral:rRNA from 1 species
AUUGAACGCUGGCGGCAGGCCUAACACAUGCAAGUCGAGCGAGCGGCGGACGGGGGAGUAAUGUAUGGGGACUGCCCGAUAGAGGGGGAUAACUACUGGAAACGGUAGCUAAUACCGCAUACUAUCGGAUAACCCAUAUGGGAUUAGCUAGUAGGUGAGGUAAUGGAUCACCUAGGCGACGAUCCCUAGCUGGUCUUAGAGGAUGAUCAACCACAUUGGGACUGGUACACGGCCCAGACCCCUACGGAUGCAGCAGUGGGGAAGAUUGCACAAUGGGGGCAAGCCUGAUGCAGCCAUGCCGCGUGUAUUAAGAAGGCCCUAUGGUUGUAAAGUACUUUCAGUCGGGAGGCGUUACCGACAGAAGAAGCACCGGCUAACUCCGUGCCAGCAGCCGCGGUAAUAC